rnacentral:piRNA from 1 species
UAUGGUCCAUAUUCCCCACUCAG